rnacentral:rRNA from 1 species
GACGAACGCUGGCGGCGUGCCUAAUACAUGCAAGUUGAGCGCUGAAGGUUGGUACUUGUACCAACUGGAUGAGCAGCGAACGGGUGAGUAACGCGUGGGGAAUCUGCCUUUGAGCGGGGGACAACAUUUGGAAACGAAUGCUAAUACCGCAUAAAAACUUUAAACACAAGUUUUAAGUUUGAAAGAUGCAAUUGCAUCACUCAAAGAUGAUCCCGCGUUGUAUUAGCUAGGUGGUGAGGUAAAGGCUCACCAAGGCGAUGAUACAUAGCCGACCUGAGAGGGUGAUCGGCCACAUUGGGACUGAGACACGGCCCAAACUCCUACGGGAGGCAGCAGUAGGGAAUCUUCGGCAAUGGACGAAAGUCUGACCGAGCAACGCCGCGUGAGUGAAGAAGGUUUUCGGAUCGUAAAACUCUGUUGGUAGAGAAGAACGUUGGUGAGAGUGGAAAGCUCAUCAAGUGACGGUAACUACACAGAAAGGGACGGCUAACUACGUG